UCCUGGUUAACCCAGGCAGUCUCACUAGAGUUCCCACCCGAAGUGUUGGCAACUAGUGAUAAGGGUUGCGCUCGUUGCGGGACUUAACCCAACACCUCACGGCACGAGCUGACGACAGCCAUGCAGCACCUGUGCAGAGGUUCAUACGAAAGGCCCUAUUUCUAGAGCUGUCCUCUGCAUGUCAAGUCUGGGUAAGGUUCUUCGCGUUGCAUCGAAUUAAACCACAUGCUCCACUGCUUGUGCGGGUCCCCGUCAAUUCUUUUGAGUUUCAGCCUUGCGGCUGUACUUCCCAGGCGGUAUACUUAUCGCGUUCGCUACGGCACAACUAGGGUUGAAUCCAGUUACACCAAGUAUACAUCGUUUACGGCAAGGACUAC
rnacentral:misc_RNA from 1 species